rnacentral:rRNA from 1 species
AUUGAACGCUGGCGGCAGGCCUCACACAUGCAAGUCGAACGAGUGGCGGACGGGUGAGUAAUGUCUGGGAAACUGCCUGAUGGAGGGGGAUAACUACUGGAAACGGUAGCUAAUACCGCAUACCAUCAGAUGUGCCCAGAUGGGAUUAGCUAGUUGGUGGGGUAACGGCUCACCAAGGCGACGAUCCCUAACUGGUCUGAGAGGAUGACCAGCCACACUGGAACUGAGACACGGUCCAGACUCCUACGUGAGGCAGCAGUGGGGAAUAUUGCACAAUGGGCGCAAGCCUGAUGCAGCCAUGCCGCGUGUGUGAAGAAGGCCUUCGGAUUGUAAAGUACUUUCAGCUGGGAGGCGUUACCCACAGAAGAAGCACCGGCUAACUCCGUGCCAGCAGCCGCGGUAAUAC